rnacentral:lncRNA from 1 species
CAUGCUGCUGCUGCUUGCAUCCAGGGCCCUGUGCAUGGUAGCCCUUCCCUGCUGUCACAAAUCGAUUCUCAGCUACCAGGCACCUGAGGAAGUCUUGGAAGCCAUCAGGAGUGUUCUGUCUUCACCAUGAAGCUCUCAUCUCUUCACUCCUGUCUCCAGAGUCUAACUUCCUUCAUCUCUCUGGACCUCAAGCUCUGUCUCUUCUAUCGAGGAAGUUUAUCCAGGCACUGUUUUGAUUUCCUCCCAUCUUUCCUUCUAGGCAGUAAGACUGCCGCUCAGGAUCAGUGACCUGUACUGCCUAUUGUCUGGAUGCUUAAGAACAGUUUCACCUAGAGUCUCAUAACUUAAUGCAGGGGUGAGAUACACUCACUGAUAACCUAUAACCUGUAGACGUAGAUGUAGCCACUUAAAGGCUAUGAGGGAGACUGAAAAUGGUAAAGUUUAUCAUUAAAAAAUUCUAAUAGGCAAUAAAGAAUUUCAAAACAGUAACAUAGAUACUUGAAUCAGGUUAAAGAGUCCCAGAAAAGACACCAGGAGCAUGAAUUGUUACAGUAGGCACUGCAUGGAUAAAAUCCUUGUGUAGUAUGUAAUAUUAAAAAACAACACACGCUAUUAUAAAUAAGGCUGCUAUGAACAUAGUGGAGCAUGUGUCCUUCUUACUGGUUGGGACAUCUGGAUAUAUGCCCAGGAGAGGUAUUGUGGGAUCCUCCGGUAGUACUAUGUCCAAUUUUCUGAGGAACC